UUCAGACGAUGCGAGUUUUAGUACUGGCUGAGCAACUGGAAUUUAUUACAAGUACAUAAAAAUUCCUAACCUGAGCCCUGAGGAGUCAUGAACUUUAUCGAUAAAUAUUACGAGCGGCCAUCUUCAAAUGAAGCGGCGUCGUGAUUGAUUCUACAAUAAGCCAGCAUGAAAUCAAGCAAGAAAAAUAGCACCGGUUCUAUCACGAAAAUCCAGCGGAUCAGUCAGCAGCGGGGCCUGCAAGCCAUACAAUUUCCAGCAUAGCAGCCAGUCAGAUUGCCAGCACAGUAGCACGCAAGCAAUCCAGCAGGAAAAAGAGCAUUGUGUGCCGCUGGCUUUAGACUAGAGUCAUAAAAAUUUUUGAACAGCAAAAUAACUGUUGCGUUAUGCUGAACGCAAAAAAGUAGUCGACGUUACUGAUAGAAUAAGGAUAGUGCCUUUGCUGUCCAAUGGCUCCUGUUAACUGAUAUCAAGCUGUGUUCAACAGAAGUGUGAUGUAAUACUGUUACGGAAUAAUACUGUAUGGUGUUGGUUUUAGUUGUUUUAGAGUAUUGUUAAUGAGUAUUGUUAGUGUUGUAAACUAGAGCUAAUCAAUAAGUUAGUAUUAAAUACAGCUUAUUGAUUAUAUUAGUUUAUUGACUAUUUGCUAUCAUUAUUUUUUUUUGUAGACUGGACAACAUUCGUAGGCGCCACACAAAUGCUGUCCAACUGUUUUUUGGGUCUGUUUUUUCAGACCUUUUUUUUCGGUUUGAGAUCGUUGAAAGCCAUUCAUCACACUUGCAAUGCUGAAACACAGCUUUGUAUUGUUUUGUAGCCGAGCCUGUUGAAACUAUUGAAUAAAGAUUUUGAUGAUUAAA